rnacentral:tRNA from 1 species
AAGAUAUUAGUAAAAUAAUUACAUAACUUUGUCAAAGUUGACUUAUAGGUUAAAAUCCUUUAUAUCUU